rnacentral:rRNA from 1 species
UACGGAGGGGGUUAGCGUUGUUCGGAAUUACUGGGCGUAAAGCGCGCGUAGGCGGAUCAGAAAGUAGGGGGUGAAAUCCCAGGGCUCAACCCUGGAAUUGCCUUCUAAACUCCUGGUCUUGAGUUCGAGAGAGGUGAGUGGAAUUCCGAGUGUAGAGGUGAAAUUCGUAGAUAUUCGGAGGAACACCAGUGGCGAAGGCGGCUCACUGGCUCGAUACUGACGCUGAGGUGCGAAAGCGUGGGGAGCAAACAGG